GACGAACGCUGGCGGCGUGCUUAACACAUGCAAGUCGAGCGGGGUCCAUCCAGUAGCAAUACUGGUGAAGACCUAGCGGCGAACGGGUGGGUAACACGUGAGCAACCUGCCCCGAAGUCUGGGAUAACACCGGGAAACCGGUGCUAAUACCGGAUGUCCUCACCGAGUCACCUGGCUUGAUGAGGAAAGAUUUAUCGCUUCGGGAGGGGCUCGCGGCCUAUCAGCUUGUUGGCGGGGAACGGCCCACCAAGGCUUCGACGGGUAGCUGGUCUGAGAGGACGACCAGCCACACUGGGACUGAGACACGGCCCAGACUCCUACGGGAGGCAGCAGUGGGGAAUCUUGCGCAAUGGGCGAAAGCCUGACGCAGCAACGCCGCGUGGGGA
rnacentral:rRNA from 1 species